AGAAACAGGCCGUGUCUGCGGCCAUGGCAAAAGCUGAGGAAGGGCCUGGAGGCUGUGCCAGCCUGCAGGAUGAACUCAGCUGUCCCAUCUGCCUGUGUCUGUACAGGAACCCCGUGUCGCUCAUCUGCGGUCACAGCUUCUGCAAGCAGUGCAUCCAGAAGGCACUGGGGGCCCAGCAGCAAUCCAAGGCCCCUUACUCCUGCCCCAUGUGCAAGCUCCAGCUGGGGCCCAUCCUGGAGCUGCAGAAGAAUUUCCAGCUGAGCAGCAUCGUGGAGGCGUUUCUGGCCACCUCUUCCCAAGGGCAACAGGGCAAGGGGGCUGCAGAAGGGGAGAAGGAGGUGGUUCCCUGUGACUUCUGCCUGGAUUGGUGCCAGCCAGCGGUGAAAACCUGCCUGAUCUGCGACGCGUCUUUGUGCCAGGCCCACCUGAACAAACACAACGCCAAGGCUUCCCAGCGGUACCACAUCCUGGUGGAGGUGGGCGCAGGUGGCGCGGCGGAGGAGAGGAGGUGCUCAGAGCACGGCCGGCUGCUGGAGUGCUACUGCCAGGACGAGGGGGAGUACAUCUGCGUCCUCUGCUGCAUCACUGGGGGCCACAAGGGCCACAGCGUGGUCACCCUGAAGGAGGUACACGACAGACAGCUGGGUGAGCUCUCGGACACUGUGACGUGGCUGCAGGAACGUAAAAAUGCUUUAGCUAUCGCCCUAGAAGAGCUUCAGAAAAGCGAGAAUCAGCUGAAGACCAAUACAAAAGCAGUGACUUCUCAGGUGCGAAAGCUGUUUGAAGAGAUGGAGACUGAGCUGAUUCAGAAAGAGAAGAUGAUCCUGAGUGACAUUCAAUCCAAUGAGAAAAAACAACUGGCAGACAUUACCAAAGUGAAGCAGAAAAUGGAACAGAGGAGAGAUGAGGCUGCGCAGCAUCUUCAGUCUUUGCAGACGAUGAGAGAGCAACCAGAUAUUUUCCUCUUCCUCAAAGAAUUUAAACUCGCCAGGGACAGGAUUGCGAGUCAGAAUUUCAGCGUCAGCAAGGUGAACGUGGUGGGAGUGCUGCUGGAUCAGUCCUGGAUCGACCACUACCAAAGCCUGAUGUGGAAAUUCAUGAGUCACCUGGCCUCGCUGCAGAAAGAUGUGCAGAGUGCACUCAUCAACCAAAUUAUAUGGAACAGGUAAAUCCUUUUCUUUACUUAGAAAAUGUUCCCUGCAAAUUUCUCCAGCAGCUGCUCAUGUAAGGACCAUGUAUCCUGAGUUCCUCUGCUUUGGUCUCAAGGAGAUCCAAGCAGAGUCUAGAAGGUGGUCCUUCAUCUCAAAAGAGGAGGUCAGAUCUAUGUCUCUUAUUUCAUUAUUAACAAGAUGUGAUUUGUGUUUUACAAGGCACUAACAUUCAUCGCUGUUUCUUUACAGUGGGGCUUCGGAUACUGCUACCUCUUCAAACUAGGUGAGACCAGCAGGAGUGCAGCCUCAGGGCACUAAAUCUGCAGUGGGCAGAAAUCUCUGGGAACUCACCAGGGCAAUCAUUAAUCUUCAGCCUGAAGGAGGGUCUGGGUUUCCUUCAGUUCUCAGUAAAAGUCUGAGCCUGCUCUGAGGAGAGACCGUGCCGGGGUUCCCACCAACUGAGCAGGAGCUGGAGCAAAACUGGUGCCUGAAAGGAUUCCCCAAGAAGUCCAGAUGCUGCAGGAGAUACUAAAUCUCUAAACAGUAUUUCUCUUCUUAUAGCACUAGUCCAAUGCUCAAAUAGGUUUCUGCUGGGCACAGUGGUGCAUCUUUUCUACAAGCUUUUUUGGAGAAAAAGUUAUUUGAAAGGUUUUUUGUAUCUUUAAAUUGCUGCAACUAAAGUUCAGUUUGCAAACAAGUUUUUCUUAAUACAUAACUUCAAAAUAAAAUCCUUCACCACUUUUUAAUUUUUGGAAGGGAAAAAUACUGUCUUCUGACAAGCAUUUCUUAGGGACAGGUUAAUGGUAAAAUUUUACUCUGGAAAGUAUGUGUUUGAGAACAGCUGUUCAGUGGGGGGGUUGAGGACAAUGUACUCUUGCCCUAAACGCAAACAUAUUUGUUUUGC